rnacentral:lncRNA from 1 species
AAUCUGAUUAGCAUCCGUGAGGAUGCAGGUGUGAUCCCUGGCCUCGCUCAGUGGAUUAAGCAUCCUGCCUUCCCAUGAGCUGUGGUGUAGGUUGCAGACACAGCUCGGAUCUGGCAGUUAUGUGGCUGUGGUGCAGGCCAGCACCUACAGCUCUGACUCAACCCCUAGCCUGGGAACCUCCAUAUGCCGCAGGUGCAGACCUAAAAAAACAAAAACAACUUUAAGAUUGUUAUUACCCUGCAGUAAAAUGCUUGAAGUAGCUAGAACCUAGGGCCACAGCUUCUGAUGUAUAAAUAGUGUCCCCUUUAAACCUGUGGGAGUUGCCUACAUAUUAACUCAAAAGGCACAAUUACAGCCCAUCUCAGCGUGUGGUGAAUACUCUUUUGCUACAAAGAGUUUACUUUGGGUCCUUUUUUGAACAUGUCAUGGACUUGACUCCUUGCUUUCUCCCAGUCUGCAGAUACUUGCAGAAAAGCGACAUCCCAGAUAGAGAAGAGGGUCAAGUGCAGAAGGGUAGCUGCUUUGCAACCGGAAGCUCCCUAAAGAAUGCAAAUGGUUCUUACUGAAUCCUUGCUACGGAUUGUCAGAAAUUCUAAAUUAUUAAAUUGAAAUCAUCAAGUUUUUAUAUGUGAAUUACAUAUGUACUAAUGUAUAUUUUAUUCAUUUAUAAAGUGUUAAUUUGGGACCAGACCAUGAACCAGAGGCACAGAGAAUAAGGUCAUGAAGUACUUGCCCUUGUAGGUGCUCACAUUAUGUCACGACUUGAUAUGAAAACAAGUCAUUUUAGCAACAUAAUAAGAACUACAAGAAGGGUGUGAACCUGGUCAUAGAAUAGCAAGGAGGGUAAAGUGGGCAACCUGGCAUGACGUGAUACCUAACCAACCUGUCUAGGAUGAGACAGAAUCAGGAAGGCAAAUAAGGAUGAGCACAACAGGGUUAAGAACGGGCUUAUUGUUUUCUUUUGGGGAAGAGAGCAAUAUGAACAUGCUAUGAGAGUGACAUGAAGGAAAAAAAGAGAUUGAAACCUACAACGUAACACAUACCAGUAGGAGAGUAUAUGUAGGGGGGAAAAAAAAGCAAUUACCUAAUAGGGCUCAGGAAUUUAGGUUCCAAUAUGUAAUUGCCAAUUUUUUACAGUUUGUUUUUUUAUUGUGGUACAAACAACAUAAGUAAAAUUUACCGUUCAAACAUUUUUAAAUGUACAGUUUGGCAGUAUUAAGUAUAUUCAACACCACCAUCCAUCUCCACCAUCCUUUUCAUCUUUCAAAACUGAAACUAUAUACCUUUUAAUCAAUAACUUCUCAUUCUCCCUUCCCUUGACCCCUGGCCUCCACCAUUCUGUUUCCUGUUUCUAUGAUUUUGACUACUCUAAGUACUUCAUACAAGUGGAAUCAUAUAAUAGGUGUCUUUUGUGUUGGACUUAUUUCACUUAGCAUAUGCCCUCCAGGUUCAUCCAUGUUGUAGCAUGUAUCAUAAUUUCUUUCCUUUUUAAGGCUGAAUAAUAUUUGAUACAACACAUAUACUACAUUUUUCUUGGCCAUUAAGCCACCAACAGACAUGAAUCACCAAGAACUUUUUGAUAUGGUGAAUAAUGCUACAAUGAACUCAAGUGAACAAAUGUCUGUUUGAUAUCCCAUUUUCAAUUCUUUUGGUAUAUACCCAGAAGUAGAAUUUCUGGAUUAUAUGGCAUUUCUAUAUUUAAUUUUUUGAAGAACCAUCAUACUGUUUUCAGCUGCUGUACCAUUUUACAUUGCCAUCAACAGGACACAAAAAUUCCAAUUUCUCCAUUUCCUUGCCAAGACUUGUUAUUUUCUAGGUUUUGUCCUUGUUUUUAUUUUUUUGAUAGUAGCUAUACUAAUGGGUCCAGAGGAUAUCUCUCUCUUUUUUUUUUUUCAAGUGGCAGAAGCAAAAAUUCUUUUAAUGCUUCUUUUUAAUGUUUCUAUAUUUGUUUUAACUUUUUUUUAUUUCCCCAAUACACUAUUAUUUUUUUCUACUGUACAGCAUGGUGACCCAGUUACACAUACAUGUAUACAUUCUGUUUUCUCACAUUAUCAUGCUCCAUCGUAAGUGACUAGAUAUAGUUCCUAGUGCUACACAGCAAGAGCUCAUUGCUAAUCCAUUCCAAAGGCAAGAGUCUGCAUCUAUGAACCCCAAGCUCCCAAUCCAUCCCUCUCCCUCCCGCUCCCCUUUGGCAACCACAAGUCUAUUCUCCAAGUCCAUGAUUUUCUUUUCUGUGGAAAGGUUCAUUUGUUCUGUAUAUUAGAUUCUAGAUAUAAGUGAUACCAUAUGGAAUAUUUCUUUCUUUGUCUUAUUUCACUCAGGAUGAGAGUCUCUAGUUCCAUCCAUGUUGCUGCAAAUGGCAUUAUUUUGUUCUUCUUUAUGGCUGAGUAGUAUUAUCAUAUAUAUAUCACAUAUGUAUCACAUGUUCCUAAUCCGAUUGUCUGUCAAUGGACAUUGGGUUGUUUCCACGUCUUGGCUAUUGUGAAUAGUGCUGCAAUGAACAUGCGGAUGCACGUGUCUUUUUUAAGGAAAGUUUUGUCUGGAUAUAUGCCCACGAGUGGGAUUGCUGGGUCAUAUGGUAGUUCUAUGUAUAGUUUUCUAAGGUGCCUUCAUUCUGUUCUCCAUACAGUUUUAAUUUACAUUUCCCUAAUUAUUAGUGACAUCAAGCAUCUUUUUUUCACUUGCUAAUUAGCCAUUAUUUAUAUUCUUUGGAUCAAUGUCCAAAUUCUUUGCCCAUUUUUAAAUCAAGUUGCUUGUACCUGGAAGUUUGUACCUUUGUUCUAGGAUGUCACGUACAAUGUGAUAACUAUAGUUAACACUACUGUAUGACAUAGAGGAAAGUUGUUGAGAGUAGAUUUUAAGAGUUCUCAACGCAAGGAAAAUAUUUUUUCUUAUUAUUGUCUCUAUAUGAGAUAAUGGAUGUUAACUAAAUCUUUUGUAUUCAUUUCACAAGAUAUGUAGCUCAAACCAUCAUGUUUAUCUCUUAAACAUAUGCAGUAGAUAUAUAUCAAUUAUUUUUCAAUAAAACUGGAAAAAAAUUAAAAAAUCAAUGCUUGUUUUUUUGUUGUUGAGUUUUAGGAGCUCUCUGUGUAUUUGGGAUAUUAAUUACUUAGCAGAUGUAUUACUUGCAAAUAUUACUCCCUUCUGUAGGUUGCCUUUUUUAUCUGUUUUUAUUAGUUUAUAGGUAUUUUCUAACUUCCCUUAUAAUUUCUUCUUUUAUCCAUUAGUUAUUUAAAAGUGUUUUUUUAACACCUACACAUUUGUGAAUUUUUCAGUUUUCCUGAAACAGUUGUGUCUGUUAGAUAUAGCUGGUUUAUUGUGUUGCUCAAGAACUCUAUUUCCUUACUUACCUUCUAGCCAUGAUUAAGAGUUGAGUAUUGAAGUCUCCCACUAUUAAUAUAAAACUGUCUAUUUCUCCCUGUAGUUCUAUAAACUUUUGGUUUAUAUAUUUUGAGGGUCUGUGCAUAAAUGUUUAUUAUUGUUAUAUAUUCUUACAUUUUUGAAUCUUUAUUUGUAUAUCUUUUGCUGUUUGUGUUCAAUAUGCCGUGUAGAUUUUUCGUACCUCGUUUCUUGCAUUACUAUUUACUUUUGUGUUUAGUUUUUUUGUAGUGUAAUGUUUUAAUUUCAUUCUCAUUUUCUCUAUAACUAUUCACUUUGUGGUUACCAUUUUACAUCCUAGUUAUAACACUCCAAUUGAAUUUAUGCUAUCUUAAUGACAAUAAUAGAAAAUUAUAUGACGUUACAGUAAUUUGCAGCUCCAGAAUUUCAUUUGGAUUUCUUUUCAUAUUUUCUGUCUUUUUAUUAAUAUUUGCAUUUUGUUUGUACAUUGCUUUCUUGACUUUUUCCAUGUCAUCCACUAGUCCUUCAGGCAUCUUUAAGCCUUUGCUAUUUUUUAGAUGUGGGGUUUGAGGGUAUUCACACUACUUAAGUCAGUUUUUUUUAUCUGUAAAAUGAGGAUUAUACAUUUAUCCUCACUGGGCUAUUUUUGAACAUGUAGGAGUUCCAGGAGAUAAUUGCUUUGGAUUAUUGAUGAAUAUUUAAAUGUAUGUCUGUGCACGAAUUAUCGUAUCUUGAUCUUUUUUAAGAUGAUGUUACUGAUGAGGAUCAGAAUCCAGUAGGAUACAUUGAACCAAAGAGGUGAUUGUCCAUAAUUUUUUCUGACUAACACCACAUUCACAUACACUCUUGCUGUGCCUAAAAAAGUCUAGAUUUUCAGAUCUUUCUACAAGACAUGAUCUCCUGAGAAUUCAUCUUCAAACAAAACUUUCAAGUUGCUACUUGCUGACACAGUCUUCUAAAUGUGUGCUCUGUAUCAAAACGUGGCCAGUGUUAGCCAGAACAAUAAGAGCUAAGUUCUGUUCUCCUUUUGUUCGACCAGUGUCCCAAGCAAGUUAACUAUAGUAGAAAGAUCAGGAGUAUCCAAUCUCUAAAUGACAAAUGCAUUAUUCCCUUGACUUUUAUGUGUAUAAACCAUCUGUCAAAUUGAAUUGUGUGGGCACUUGCCAUUGUGCCCGUCAUCAUGAGUUGCUUACUUGUGUAGAAUUAUUAGAAUGUAAUUUUAUGUUUAUGAAAUUUUGGCCUUUCUGGAGAGUCUCAUAUCGAGGACCCAGUUGAGAUGAGGAGGUAACAAGGAAGGCAUUUUAAAUGGUACAGAAGAAGCCACUGAUCAAAAUAAGUGCAAAGUAAGUUACACCAAUAGUUGUUUUUUUAGUGCUUGAAAGAGUAGCAGUGACCUCACUUUAAAAACCCAAAGGCGAAAGAUAUGUAAACAUGAAAUAUAUAUGUUUAUUAUUACACACAUUUUCCUCCUUGUUAUCCUCCAACUGUAAGAGGUUGUAAUGCAUAGGCUUUCCUGGCAUAAGACAGCUGUUGGAUAUGUCUCAGUGUGGAGUGCUAUUUUACAGUCGCUAGCAAGAAUAUUAGAACCAACCUUUUUUUCUCUAAAUGCUUCUUGGGAAAGGUACAUUAAUUAAGACAGUGGCCAAAUUAGUUCUAUAAGACUGCAGUAUUUUGUCUUUAAAAAAUCAGAUAUUAAAAAAAUUAUGUAAUGUAUAUUAUGAAUAUAAAAUAAUAUAAUGUAUAGUCUAGUUAUAUAAUGUAAAUAAUGGCUAAAAAUCUGAAAAAGUAAAUAUAAAAUGAAUUGAUAUGAAGUUGAAUAAAUAAUCAACAUACUUUUUCUACCCUUACUCUUCUGAAAUACUUAAUUUUAUUAAUUAAAAAUGCACUAUUUUACAGAGUUCAUAGGAAACAUUAUUUUCCAUAAUUUGAAGUAUUGUUUUUUUUCUUUAUUUGGCUGUGCCUGUGGCAUGUGGAAGUUCCUGGCCAGUAGUAGCAGCAAAUUGAGCCCUUGCAGUGACAGCACUGGAUCCUUAACCCACUUAACCACAAGGGAACUCCUGAAAUAUGUAUUUUUAAAGUACAAGCUAUUGCAGUAUUUAUAAUUCACUUCAUUUUAAAAACAAUUUGUGGCACCUUACAGAACAAAUAAUACAACAUAAAGAAAAAAUAAGGACAUUAGGAAGAAGGAAAAAUAACGGUAGAAGAAUUAAGUGAAAUAAAGGGCAAGGUUACUGCAUGUAUCUGCCUGCAAACAUCCCAUAGACCAAAACAAAGAAUAAAACAUGGUCAAUUGCAAAAGUCAAUGUCGAUGGAAUUAAAAUAUGACAAUGGAUCCAUAGAAUAACUUUCCUGGGUUUUGAGGCUAUAGAUGUGUCACUGAGUGGAGUAAAGUGUUCACAUUGAAUACCAUUUUUAUGAAAGCACCACAGUACAUUAUAAGAUUUCAGACUUGUCUCAUAAUAAUCCUUAACCUAUCAAAGUAUAAUAGAUUAAAACUAAUUCCAUGAGGAGAUCCAAAUAAGAGUAAUUAGACAGCUGCAUGGUGGUCCAUCUUAGUCAAAAGAAGAAAUAGAAUUAGAAUUCAGAAGAUGAAAGUUGGGGAGUGUGAAUUAAUAGCAAAAUUACUUUUUUGAAUAAAACCUUGCAAGUGUUCUUUGUUUCUUGCAGCCAAAAGAUCCUAACUGGCAAAAUCAUGAAGGCAGACAUUAUAUUUUAGUAGUCAUCAUAUAAGAAUAACUUGAAUAUUUAUUAUAGCUACAUUUAGUGAUGAGGCAUGAUAACAAUGCCUUUUUCAAUUAAAACAAAAGUCUCAUUAUCAACAAACUACUCUUUUAAGGUAUCUUAUGGCUAGGUUUUUUUCUUUAAACAAAAUUUAUUCAUUUAUUUAUUUUUCUUAUUUUCAAUGUCUGUCCCUAACCAUUUGUUAUGCUUAUUGAUAAAAGUACUUACUAAAAAAAAAAAAA